AAUUUUCUUCUUUAAACUUUAAUGUUGUCGUCACUACAUCUGGAAAACAACCUGGUCUCUUUUAAAAUACUUUUAAUUUGUUCUUACGUGGUUUUCCAGAUGUAGUGACGACAACAUUAAAGUUU